UAGGGAAUCUUCCGCAAUGGACGAAAGUCUGACGGAGCAACGCCGCGUGAGUGAAGAAGGAUUUCGGUUCGUAAAGUUCUGUUGCAGGGGAAGAUAAUGACGGUACCCUGUGAGGAAGCCCCGGCUAACUACGUGCCAGCAGCCGCGGUAAUACGUAGGGGGCUAGCGUUAUCCGGAUUUACUGGGCGUAAAGGGUGCGUAGGUGGUCUUUCAAGUCGGUGGUUAAAGGCUACGGCUCAACCGUAGUUAGCCUCCGAAACUGGAAUACUUGAGUGCAGGAGAGGAAAGUGGAAUUCCCAGUGUAGCGGUGAAAUGCGUAGAUAUUGGGAGGAACACCAGUAGCGAAGGCGGCUUUCUGGACUGCAACUGACACUGAGGCACGAAAGCGUGGGUAGCAAACAGG
rnacentral:rRNA from 1 species